rnacentral:piRNA from 1 species
UCAUCUGACAGAGAAAUGUCUCUCCAUUGGC